rnacentral:rRNA from 1 species
GCCUACGGGGGGCGGCAGUGGGGGAUAUUGCACAAUUGGGGGAACCCUGAUGCAGCGACGCCGCGUGGGCGAUGGAGCGCCUCGGCGCGUAAAGCCCUAUCAGCAGGGAAGAAGAUGACGGUACCUGACUAAGAAGCUCCGGCUAAAUACGUGCCAGCAGCCGCGGUAAUACGUAUGGAGCAAGCGUUAUCCGGAUUUACUGGGUGUAAAGGGAGCGCAGACGGCAAGGCAAGUCUGAUGUGAAAGUCCGAGGCUCAACCUCGGGACUGCAUUGGAAACUGUCUGGCUAGAGUGCAGGAGAGGUA